GUGUUGUGGUCGAGUGGAUAUGUCAUUUGACUGUCGAUCAAAACGUCCGGGUUCGAGUCCCGCCGCGGCAC
rnacentral:tRNA from 1 species